rnacentral:rRNA from 1 species
AACGAACGCUGUCGGCAGGCCUAACACAUGCAAGUCGAGCGGACAUCUUCGGAUGUUAGCGGCGGACGGGUGAGUAACGCGUGGGAACGUGCCCUUUGCUUCGGAAUAGCCUCGGGAAAAUGGGAGUAAUACCGGAUGUACCCUUUGGGGGAAAGAUUUAUCGGCAAAGGAUCGGCCCGCGUUGGAUUCGGUAGUUGGUGGGGUAAUGGCCUACCAAGCCGACGAUCCAUAGCUGGUUUGAGAGGAUGAUCAGCCACACUGGGACUGAGACACGGCCCAGACUCCUACGGGAGGCAGCAGUAGGGAAUCUUAGACAAUGGGGGAAACCCUGAUCUAGCCAUGCCGCGUGAGCGAUGAAGGCCUUAGGGUUGUAAAGCUCUUUCACCGGGGAAGAUAAUGACGGUACCCGGAUAAGAAGCCCCGGCUAACUCCGUG